rnacentral:rRNA from 1 species
ACCUGAAACCCUGUGCCUACAAGCACCUAGAGCGCGUCAAUGCGUGAUAGGGUACUUUUUGUAGAACGGUCCGGCGAGCGAUUGUAUGCAGCAAGGUUAAGGACUUAAGGUCUGGAGCCGAAGCGAAAGCGAGUUUGAAAAGGGCGUUAAGUUGCAUAUAAUGGGCCCGAAACCGGGUGACCUACCCAUGGUCAGGUUGAAGUGGAAGUAAAAUUCCAUGGAGGACCGAACCGACCUCCGUUGAAAAGGCGGCGGAUGAACUGUGGGUAGCGGAGAAAUUCCAAUCGAACCCGGAGAUAGCUGGUUCUCCCCGAAAUAGUUUUAGGACUAGCCUCAAGUUAGAUACCUGGAGGUAAAGCACUGAAUAGCCUAGCGGCCGAGAGGUUAGCGAAGCUUAUCAAACUCAGAAUGCCAGAGUAUUGAUGCUUGGGAGUCAGACAGUGUCAGAUAAAUGUCAUUGUCAAAAGGGAAACAGCCCAGAUCUACAGCUAAGGUCCCAAAGUCAGGUUAAGUGGAAAACGAUGUGAAGAUACGCAGACAACCAGGAUGUUGGCUCAGAAGCAGCCACUCAUUCAAAGAGUGCGUAAUAGCUCACUGGUCGAGCGUCUUUGCGCGGAGAAUUUAACGGGGCUAAACCUGACACCGAAGCUUAGGCAAUCCAGUAAUGGAUUGGGUAGGGGAGCGUUGUAUACGCGGAGAAACAGUAGCGUAAGCGGCUGUGGAGUGUAUAGAAGUGAGAAUGCCGGAAUGAGUAGCGCGAAUGCAGUGAGAAUCUGCAUGGCCGAAAGCCUCAGGUUUUUGGAGGAAGGUUCGUCCGCUCCAAGUUAGUCGGGAGCUAAGGUGAGGCCGGAAGGCGUAGCCGAUGCACAGACGGUAGAGAUUCCGUCACCACCAAAAGAGUUAAGCACAGGGACACAUUUGAAGUCUCAGAGCCGGGUGUUGGUUCCGGUAGAGAUCGAGGGAAGUUAGUACCGAAGUCUGAGAUGGAAGAUGGCGAGAAAAGCUGUGUGUAUUUCUGAGGUGCCCGUACCGCAAACCGACACAGGUAGGUAGGAAGAAGAUUCUAAGGCCAACGGGAGAAGGGUUGUUAAGGAACUCGGCAAAUUGACCCCGUAACUUCGGGAGAAGGGGUGCUCCAGAGAUGGAGCCGCAGAGAAUCGGCCCAAGCAACUGUUUACCAAAAACACAGGUUUGUGCUAAAUCGAAAGAUGACGUAUACGAGCUGACGCCUGCCCGGUGCUGGAAGGUUAAGAGGAGAUGUGCAAGCAUUGAAUCGAAGCCCCAGUGAACGGCGGCCGUAACUAUAACGGUCCUAAGGUAGCGAAAUUCCUUGUCAGGUAAGUUCUGACCCGCAUGAAAGGCGUAAUGAUUUGGGCACUGUCUCAACAGCCCGCCCGGCGAAAUUGUAGUACCGGUGAAGAUGCCGGUUACCCGCGACAAGACGGAAAGACCCCAUGGAGCUUUACUGUAGCCUAAUAUUGGGUUUCGAUGUUGCAUGCACAGGAUAGAUGGGACACAGGGAAACAGGAGCUUUGGCUUCUGCGGAGUGGCCGUUGGGAUACCAUCCUUGCGAUAUUGGAAUUCUAACCUGCGGCUCUGAAUCGAGUCGGGGGACAUUGUUAGGUGGGCAGUUUGACUGGGGCGGUCGCCUCCUAAAAAGUAACGGAGGCGUUCAAAGGUUCGCUCAGCUUGAACGGAAAUCAAGCAAAAGAGUGCAAACGCAGAAGCGAGCCUAACUGCGAGACUGACGGGUCGAGCAGUAACGAAAGUUGGAGUUAGUGAUCCGGUGGUAUGUGAGUGGAAAUGCCAUCGCUCAACGGAUAAAAGCUACCCUGGGGAUAACAGGCUGAUCUCCCCCAAGAGU